CUACGGGGGAGGAUUGGAUGAAUGCGUUUAACGCUGCUGCUAGUGGACAGGACUCAUUGAAGAGGUAUGGAUCUGGUGGUCAUAGCCGACGGUACAGUGAUCCAGCUCAGAAUGGUGAGGAUGAUUCUUCUGGAUCUGGUGGGAGCAACCGUCGUACCACACCAAACAGGCUCCCACCGGCACCUCCACAGUCUGGUGGAUCAUCUUACAGGUAUUAGUAUAACCUGUUUAAUUUUACAAAUUUGUUAUUGGAGAAACCAUAAGAAUUGCGGUGGAUGUCCCAAGAAGUACGAGGUUACGUUGAAGCAGUUUUAAACAGCCUUGCCGCGAAUGUUCCAAAGGUGGACUAAUUUGUAUUCUCGUGAAUUCUUUAGUUUCCAUCUCGCUUUCUACUAUUACUUCAUUACUUAAACCCCAUCCGACAACAGGCCGUUGUUCUUUGUCAAGUGGAGAAAUCAAAGGAAGACAUGCUGAAUCAGCUCUACAGUUCUAUCAGGUUACAUAUCUUUUUAUCCCAAUAGAUAUAGUAUUGUAACUCAAAUCGGCUCUGAUGUGAUGUGGUACUUAUUUGUCUACUCCUCCUACAUUGAUCUGCAGCGCGAUAGGUAAUGAGAGGAUUGAAUCGUUGAUUCAAGAGGACCAAAACGUCAAAAGAAAAAGAGACCGUUACGAGAAGCAGUCAUCUCUUCUUUCAAAGCUCACGAGACAGCUUAGCAUUCACGAUAACCGAGCAGCUGCUGCUUCAAGCUGGUCUGACAGCGGCACUGGUAUAAAUAUAUAUAUGAAUGAAUACAUAUCUUCCCCUCUUUCAAAUAAUGUGCGUAUAUCUAACCGAAAACUAAAUUAAUUUUCUUGUGUUAUCUUUAUUUGCAGAAAGCAGCCCGAAAACCAAUGGAGGAGGGUCUACGGGGGAGGAUUGGAUGAAUGCGUUUAACGCUGCUGCUAGUGGACAGGACUCAUUGAAGAGGUAUGGAUCUGGUGGUCAUAGCCGACGGUACAGUGAUCCAGCUCAGAAUGGUGAGGAUGAUUCUUCUGGAUCUGGUGGGAGCAACCGUCGUACCACACCAAACAGGCUCCCACCGGCACCUCCACAGUCUGGUGGAUCAUCUUACAGGUAUUAGUAUAACCUGUUUAAUUUUACAAAUUUGUUAUUGGAGAAACCAUAAACACAUUUUGUUUUCCUUUUUGGGAUUUGUCCCAUUUCUGGUCUAGUUUUUUACUUAUGUAUUAAUUGGUUUGUUUUCUUUGAAA
rnacentral:lncRNA from 1 species